UAACACUGUCGCCUUGGAGAGUAGGUUCUACCCUGUGGAUUUUGGAGGGGCACAAACAUUCAGACUAUAGCUUAUCAAAUAGUGCUUGUUGAUGUCCCAUUGGUCAAAGGAAGUCACAUGACUAAACUUAUAGUCAGGGCUAGAGGGCCCUGCCCAAGCACGUGGCUAUUGGCAACCAUGUACCUUACACAUAAACAAAAGUAUCUCCCCACCCAUGUAAGGCCUGAAACUGCCAUCAUUUCUCUUUGAGGCCUCUGAACUAAGAAUUGCCUUCUGUUGGCUUGCUCCUGGAAAAAUCAGGCAUGACUUCAUUGCAUAUCCUAUGACUCAUGAUUUUAUUUCAAGGGAUAUAGCCAAGAGAAAAGAGUGCUUAUGUCUACCAAAAGUCACACACAAAUGCACAUGGCAACUCAAACGCCUAUCAAGAACAGAUAAACGAAUCAUGAUAUAUUCACACCAAGGAAUAAUAUACAGCAUUAAAAAAAAAAAAAAAAAAGACUGCUACAUGCAACAACAGGAUAAAGAAGCCACAUAUAGGGGCUGGGGAUGUGGCUCAAGUGGUAGCGUGCUCGCCUGGCAUGCAUGCGGCCCGGGUUCGAUCCUCAGCACCACAAACAAAGACGUUGUGUCCGCCGAAAACUAAAAAAUAAAUGUUAAAAUUCUCUCUCUCUCUUUAAAAAAAAAAAGCCACAUAUAUGCAAGAACACAUAUCAUACCAUCUAUUUUCAAACACAGACAAAUUGCCAGGCAUGGUGGCACACCUCUAUAAUCCCAGUGACUCUGGAGGCUGAGGCAGGAGGAUCACAAGUUGGAGGCCAGCCUCAGUGAUUUAGUGAGAACCUGUCUCAAAAUAAACAAUAAAAAAAAUGGGGGGUUG
rnacentral:lncRNA from 1 species